rnacentral:rRNA from 1 species
AGGGCGCAUGGGGGAUGUCUCGGCAUUAGAAGGCGAUGAAGGGCGUGGAAGUCUGCGAUAAGCCCGGGGGAGUUGACAAACGAGCGUUGAUCCCGGGAUUCCCGAAUGUUCCUACGCUGAAUCCAUAGGCGUGUGGAGGCAAACCCGGUGAACUGAAACAUCUAAGUAGCCGGUGGAAAAGAAAGAAAAUCGAUUCCCUCAGUAGCGGCGAGCGAACGGGGACCAGCCCAAACCGCGGGGGUUUUCCUCUGCGGGGUUGAAGGGCCUUCCAAAUGGGAGUUACCAAGUAGCCUGUUAGCAGAACGGCUUGGAAUAGCCGGCCAUAGAGGGUGACAGCCCCGUAAGCGAAAGCGGCGCUGCCUCCCGGAGGGUACCUGAGUAGGUCGGGGCACGUGAAACCCCGACUGAAUCCACGGGGACCAUCCCGUAAGGCUAAAUACUCUCUAAUGACCGAUAGCGAACUAAGUAGGGCGACUGAAAGAUGAGAAGAACCCCUGCUAGGGGAGGAAUGUGAACCUGAAACCAUGUGCCUACAAGCGGUCGGAGCACGGUGGCCUUCGGGCCUGUGUGACGGCGUGCCUUUUGCAUAAUGAUCCGGCGAGUUACCGUCGUUGGCUUGGUUAAGACCUUCCGGGUCGGAGCCACAGGGAAACCGAGUCUGAAUAGGGCGAUUUUGUCAGCGGUGGUAGACGCGAAACUGCGUGAUCUACUCAUGGGCAGGGUGAAGCGCGGGUUAUACUGCGUGGAGGCCCGAACCCACUUGGGUUGAAAACCGAGGGGAUGACCUGUGAGGAGGAGUGAAAGUCUAAUCAAACGCAGAGAUAGCUCGUUCUCUCCGAAAUAGCUUUAGGGCUAGCCUCGAGCCACUACGUCCCGGGGGUAGAGAUACUGAAUUGGAUGGGGGACCUUCCAGGGUACCCCACUGAACCAAACUCCGAAUUCCGGGACGAUUAUCUCGGGAGUCAGUCCGCGGGGGAUAAGCUCCGCGGUCGAAAGGGAAACAACCCAGACCGUCGGCUAAGGUCCCUAAGUCAUGCUCAGUCACAAAGGAAGUUAGAAUGCUGAGACAGCCAGGAUGUUGGCUUAGAAGCAGCCACCAUUUAAAAAGUGCGUAACAGCUUACUGGUCGAGCAUUCUUGCGCCGAUAAUGAACGGGAGUAAGCAUGACACCGAAGCCGCGGGUGCAGGGAUUCUUCGGAUGAACUGCGCGGUAGGAGAGCGCCGUACGUCAGAUACAAGCCGUACCGAAAGGAACGGUGUCGGGGCGUACGGGUGAUUAUGCCGGAAUGAGUAACGAUAAAGCAGGUGAGAAUCCUGCUCGCCGAAAGCCUAAGGUUUCCUGGGGAAGGUAAAUCCGCCCAGGGUUAGCCGGUCCCUUAGUCGAGGCCGAAAGGCGUAGACGAUGGAUAGCAGGUUAAUAUUCCUGCGCCGCUUGCGUGGAGCGAUGGAGGGACGGCGUCCAGAUAGCAAGCAGACGGAUAGAAAUGUCUGUAGGGUGCACCGAGAUGGCGGGAUUGGUAAAUCCGCCCGCGGAAUUCAAGGUGCAAACUCGAGCGAUUCGUUCGCGAAGUUGUUGGAAGGACGUCCAAGAAAAGCUUCUAAGCGUUGAAGCGCAGCGACCGUACUAAAACUGACACAGGUAGGCGAGACGAGAAGUCUAAGGCGCUCGGGAGAACGGUGGUUAAGGAACUCUGCAAAAUGGCCCCGUACGUUCGCAAUAAGGGGCGCCUCUGGAGGUGAAUAGCUUCUGGAGGCCACAGAAAAUCGAUUCCAGCGACUGUUUAUCAAAAACACAGGACUCUGCUAACUCGUAAGAGGAUGUAUAGAGUCUGACGCCUGCCCGGUGCCGGUAGGUUAAGGAAGAGGGUUAGCUCUUCGGAGCGAAGCUCGCAACCGAAGCCCCGGUAAACGGCGGCCGUAACUAUGACGGUCCUAAGGUAGCGAAAUUCCUUGUCGGGUAAGUUCCGACCUGCAUGAAUGGCGUAACGACUGGAAUACUGUCUCAACCACCGACCCGGUGAAAUUGUAGUCGUGGUGAAGAUGCCACGUACCCGCGGUUAGACGGAAAGACCCUAUGAACCUUUACUGUAGGCUGAUAUUGGGCUGAGGUAU